UGGGACUUUUCAUACCUGUACCUCUCGAAGUUGAAUGAAAUAACAAUCUGGUUUGCUGCACAAGGUCCGGGUUACCAGACAGUGUCUCACCAUGUGCCUCUGACUGUCCUUGAACUCAUCAUGUAGGACCAGCCAGGUCUCUAACCCACAUAGAUAUGCGUGCUUCUGCCGUCUGAAUGCUGGGAAUCUAGAAGAGUAAGCCAACACGCCCACCCAGGUCUUUAAAAAAGAAAAAAGAAGAGUCGGCAUACAAAGAACAGGGUCAACCUCCCCAUAUGAGAAGAUGUCACCAAUAAUGAUGUACCGGGGAGCCGGGGAGGUGGCACAGGUAAAAGAACUUGCUAUACAAGCUGGAUCGCCUGAGCUCCUUGUAACCCACCUGAUGGAAGGAGAGAACUGACUUAAGUUGUCAUCUGAUAGCUACAGACGACGAUGAUGAUGAUACAGAAAAUAAAAAUGUAAGGUUUAUUUGGGGAAGGUGGGGUGUUGCAAACCAGUAAAUCCCAGAAUCCCAGACUAAGGCAGGAGGUUCGAGAAAUUCAGCCUGAGCUAUGUAGUGAGACGCUGUCUCAAAAGACAAGAAAGAGAGAGAAAGGAAAAAGAUUCAUUUAUUCAAAGGAACUAUAUAACCAAGCACAUAUUGAAAAUCUCGUAUAUAUAGAGCAUAAAGGAGGUCUGAUACACACCGAGUUCCGGUCUCACCUCUGCCGGCCGCAGGAAGCAGAUAAAGACAUGACCUACAAAGACUCAGUUACCGGCCCUGGGUCACACAUGUAAGUAAGCGGCGGGGUCGGAAGGAGGAAGGCAGAGGGCUAGGGUGGAGACAUUCACACUCUGCUCCCUGAGCUAUGGAAAGCCUCUGUCCCCACACUGCACAUUGCAUCAUAGCAGACAGUUCCGGGCUUCCUGCCUCCAGGGUUUGUGACAGCAGCAGUUAUUCUGGCUCUUCGUCUCCCUGUUUAUAAAAAUAAAGUGCUUGAGAAACGCGUC